ACGGAUCUGACACUGGUUGGGCUUUUCAGAAGAUCUGCAUCAAUUUUGCUAGGUGGGGAUACGCCGUCUUCGCCGCUGAUCUUCUCGGCCAUGGCAGAUCAGACGGCAUUCGUUGCUACUUGGGUUCGUACCUCCAUUUCUUUUAUUCCUGUUAAAAAGUUUGAUUCAUGAAUCCUAAUUAUGUUGGAGAAAAUUUAUGUUGCUGCUAUUUGCUUGGGAUUUUGGAGUACUAUUAAAUAAACCAUUUGGGCGAAAUGUUGAUGUAGGUGACAUGGAGAAAGUAGCAGCGACAUCCUUAUCAUUCUUCAAGGAGAUGCGAUACAGGGAAGAAUACAAGAACUUACCAGCUUUCCUCUUCGGUGAAUCAAUGGGUGGGUUAGUAACGAUGCUGAUGUACUUCCAAUCGGAGCCGGAGACUUGGACGGGACUAAUCUUCUCGGCUCCACUCUUCGUGAUUCCAGAGCCGAUGAAACCGAGCAAGCUCCGGCUAUUUCUCUACGGGCUUCUAUUUGGAUUAGCU
rnacentral:lncRNA from 1 species